AUGGAAGUCACUUUCAAACAUGCAGAAAUGGAUCCCACCAAUGAAAUGCAAAACAGUGGAAGGUAUUAUCUCUUGACUUUGGCAAUGGAUGUGUUGGGGAAAGGGCUCAGGCAGUGCCAGGAGCAUCAAACGGUGAAGACUAGAACCCCACAGGUGGAGGAACUGGCAGCAUAUGGAGAGGUGUGCUUGGGCCAGGUGUGGCCAGACAUAUCAAGUCCUGCAGUUGCUGUGAUCCUGCAGAGAGCUCACUCUCCAAGGGCUCAGGCUGAGCUGUCCUCCAGGUCUGGGCUUAGUAGAGAACUUGAGAGUGUCCAGGACCCAAGCACCCUCUAUUUUGCUGCUCCACCAUCUUGAGGAUGCUACACUGCAUGGUCCGAGAAGGCUCAGCACUGUGUCUACAUUCUAGUCACUAAGAGAAGGGAAGGAAGGGAGGAAGGAUAUAUAUAUAUCCCAUUCCUGUAAGUAGUAUGUAUAACAUUGCUAGCAUCUCACUGACCAGAAGUAUCACCGCAUCUCAUGGCAAAGGAGGUUAGGAAAUGUGAAAUCUUUUAAAUCUACAUAUAGCCAUGUGUCUAAUUAAAAAUUAUAUUACUAUGGAAGAAGGGAGGUAUGGAUAUUAGGAGAUAACUUGAAGACUCUGCCACAGUCAGUACCUUUAGAACAAUUCUCUUGGGCUAGUGAAAUCCCACAGAAAAGAUUCUUCCUAAAUCUUGACUAGAAAAUUAUAAGCCUAGUUGUCAGAGUUCUAGGCAUUGAAUGAGACGAAAAAUUGGGAUGGGCUAGUGCUUGUAGUGGUGACUGGGUCUCAUGAUAUAAUGUGUAAAGUUUUAUUCACUCAUGCCACACAUUAUCUCAUCCAAAGACCAGCUCUCCAGAAGCAAUCUAGAUUUUGGCUCAGGGUUUGGAGGUUAGCUGACUGGGUUCUUGAACAGUAAAUUGUUUUUCUGCAUGAGUGAGAAGGGCUGCAAAUCUAAUUUUCAACUAAUCUUUGUGUUUUCAGUCCCCUUUUCACUGCUAGUUCCAGAGAUAGUUGUCUACAGCUUCUUAGUAUAAUAGAAAUUGGGCUGCUUCUCAGAUUUCCUCACUCUUAACUUAGGAUUAAGCUUUCUCAAGUCCCCUAAGUCAUUAACCACUUAUUCAUCUGCUCUACAGCUUCUAAAAUUUUGUUUUUAUUGACUUCUCACCCAUGUUCUCUGUCUGAUAGGUUUAAACUUAAAAAAAAUUGCUUACUUUUCUUAGUGGGAAGAAACAGAAAUAACUGGAGAGAGUCAACCCAUCAUCUUUAACCUAAAAUAUAAAUUGUUCUUUACAGCCAUUUAUUUUAAUACCUCACUACUUUUAUUCUCAGAACAUCUAUUAACAUUUCCCAUGGAAAAUAAAAGACUGAUGAGAUGAUGAUGGUGAUAUGAA
rnacentral:lncRNA from 1 species